rnacentral:rRNA from 1 species
UUGGAGGGCAAGUCUGGUGCCAGCAGCCGCGGUAAUUCCAGCUCCAAUAGCGUAUAUUAAAGUUGUUGCAGUUAAAAAGCUCGUAGUUGAACUUCGGGGUCUACCCAUUGGUCAGGCUUAAUUGUCUGCACUGGUGAGAUGGAUCUCUACCUUCUGAGGAACUUUCAUGCCAUUUAUUUGGUGUGAUGGGAAAUCAGGACUGUUACUUUGAAAAAAUUAGAGUGUUUAAAGCAGACUAUCGUCUGAAUACAUUAGCAUGGAAUAAUGAAAUAGGACGGACUGAUUCUAUUUCGUUGGUUUCUAGGAUCACCGUAAUGAUUAAUAGGGAUAGUUGGGGGCAUUAGUAUUCAAUUGUCAGAGGUGAAAUUCUUGGAUUUAUUGAAGACUAACUACUGCGAAGGCAUUUGCCAAGGAUGUUUUCAUUAAUCAAGAACGAAAGUUAGGGGAUCGAAGACGGUCAGAUACCGUCGUAGUCUUAACCAUAAACUAUGCCGACUAGGGAUCGGACGAAGUUAAUUUUAUAAUGACGCGUUCGGCGCCUUACGGAAAC